UUUAAUCCUACUUAAUACUGA
ensembl:piRNA 21ur-6523 ncRNA